GCCGGGCAUGGUGGCAUGUGCCUGCAGUCCCAGCUACUUAGGAGGCUGAGGCAGGAGGAUGGCUUGAACCCAGGAGAUGGAGGCUGCAGUGAGCCAUGAUUGUACCACUGCACUUCAGCCUGGGUGACAGAGCCAGACCCUGCCUCAA
rnacentral:SRP_RNA from 1 species